GAUGAAGAACGUAGCGAAAUGCGAUAAGUAGUGUGAAUUGCAGAAUUCAGUGAAUCAUCGAAUCUUUGAACGCACAUUGCGCCCUUUGGUAUUCCUUAGGGCAUGCCUGUUCGAGCGUCAUUUAAACCUUCAAGCUAACCUUGGUGUUGGGUGACUGUCCGCUUCACGGCGGACUCGCCUCAAAAUUAUUGGCGGCCGGUACAUUGGCUUCGAGCGCAGCAGAAACGCGAACUCGGGCCCGUCGUAUUGGCUCCCAGAAGCUAUCUUCACAAUUUUGACCUCGGAUCAGGUAGGGAUACCCGCUGAACUUAAGCAUAUCAAUAAGCGGAGGA
rnacentral:misc_RNA from 1 species